AGGACACCAGAGCAACUGGAGAUACCAGGAACAUAAUCAACACACACAAAGACUUGGUCGCUCUGUGAGUCUCCCCUGUCAUCCGAUGAGAGCGCUCCCGGGAUCUGUGAGGCUGUGCGGUCGCGGAGCCAGCGGCCAGCUGCUUCCUCUCACAGCUGAUUCCUCAGCAUCUCACGCGGCACCGACCACACACUGCAGCGAACCGAUAAAGCAUAUGUAUAUAUUGGCAUCAUUGAGAACAAGGAUUUCAACAUUGAAAGGAGGAGAUACAGAGAGUUGGAUAAUGGUGGCAGCAUGAGAAGUGAGGCAGAAAUCUCCUCCCAAAACCUCAUAUAACAAGAAAACACAACAAAUACAACCUAGCCUAAAAUAGAAGAUGAGAAAGAAGGCUCCAACAGAUGGCUUACAUCUUGGGAAAAGAGAAGACCUCAAGGAGAAUGUUGCUAUCAUCUCUGUCCUCCAGGUGGAACAGUCAUGAAGGUACAACAGAACAUCAAGGAGACUGCUUGGUAAACCUACCUGUCAUACAGUGCACUCUGAGAAACAGGAGAUACUGAGUCAAACA